rnacentral:rRNA from 1 species
CGCAUCUGUGCAUGCAGCAUAUCAAUAAGCGGAGGAAAAGAAACUAACAAGGAUUCCCCUAGUAACGGCGAGUGAAGCGGGAAGAGCUCAAAUUUGAAAUCUUAAAGGGUUUCCCUUUACGAAUUGUAGUUUAAAGAAGUGUUUUCUGUUGAGGUUUUGGUAAAAGUUCUUUGGAAUAGGACAUCAUAGAGGGUGAGAAUCCCGUAUUUGACCUUUACUUUCAACUUUGUGAUACACUUUCAAAGAGUCGGAUUGUUUGGGAAUGCAGUCCAAAAUGGGUGGUAAAUUUCAUCUAAAGCUAAAUAUUGGCGAGAGACCGAUAGCGAACAAGUACCGUGAGGGAAAGAUGAAAAGAACUUUGAAAAGAGAGUUAAACAGUACGUGAAAUUGUCAAAAGGGAAGCGUUUGACACCAGUGUUGUUUUUCUGAAAAUCAAUUAAAGAACUGUUUAUGCUAAGCUGUUUAGACUUUAUCAGCUAACUGUUUAGUUUUGAGCUUUUCUUUAAUGCACUUUUCAGUUAACAAGUCAACAUCAAUUUCUUUUGCUGUAAAAAAGCUUGAGGAAGGUGGCUUGAGAUUCGUCUUAAGUGUUUAUAGCCUCUUGCCUAUGCAGUCGGAGAGAUUGAGGUCUGCAGCGUAGAUCCUUCGGGGCUAAAUGCAUUUGUGCUAAGUUAUAGCAUUUUAUAGACAACUUGUUGACUAUGAUUUGUCUUGUAGCUUACUCGCUUAUGUUAUUUUACCUACGCUUAGGAUGUUGACUGAUAUGUAGUCGUA